rnacentral:rRNA from 1 species
UACGGGGGGAGCAAGCGUUGUUCGGAUUUACUGGGCGUAAAGGGCGCGUAGGCGGCUACGCACGUCCGUUGUGAAAUCGCUCGGCUCAACUGGGCGGGGUCAGCGGAUACGGUGUAGCUGGAGCAAGCUAGGGGGCAAUGGAAUUCCCGGUGUAGUGGUGGAAUGCGUAGAUAUCGGGAGGAACACCAGUGGCGAAGGCGGUUGCCUGGAGCUUUGCUGACGCUGAUGCGCGAAAGCGUGGGGAGCGAUCCGG